rnacentral:misc_RNA from 1 species
GAAAUGCGAUAAGUAAUGUGAAUUGCAGAGUUUAGUGAAUCAUCGAAUCUUUGAACGCACAUUGCGCCCGCCAGCACUCUGGCGGGCAUGCCUGUUCGAGCGUCAUUUCAACCCUCAGAACCCCUUGCGGGAUCUGGCGUUGGGGAUUGGCAUCCAGCCAGCCCCGAAAUCUAGUGGCGGUCCCUCCGCGACCUCCCCUGUGCAGUAGCGAUACCUCGCAGCGGGACAGCGGUCUGACCACGCCGUAAAACCCCCAACUUCUCAAGGUUGACCUCGAAUCAGGUAGGAAUACCCGCUGAACUUAAGC